GCAAGUCGAGGGGCAGCGGGGUGUAGCAAUACAUCGCCGGCGACCGGCGCACGGGUGCGUAACACGUAUGGAAUCUGCCCUUUACUGGGGAAUAGCCCGGAGAAAUCCGGAUUAAUGCCCCAUAACAAGCGAGGUGGCAUCACCUUGCUUUGAAAGCUCCGGCGGUAAAGGAUGACCAUGCGCACGAUUAGCUAGUUGGUGAGGUAACGGCUCACCAAGGCUACGAUCGUUAGGGGGCCUGAGAGGGUUAUCCCCCACACUGGUACUGAGACACGGACCAGACUCCUACGGGAGGCAGCAGUGAGGAAUAUUGCGCAAUGGAGGCAACUCUGACGCAGCCAUGCCGCGUGCAGGAAGAAGGCGCUACGCGUUGUAAACUGCUUUUAUUCGGGAAGAAACCCCUCUACGUGUGGAGGGUUGACGGUACCGGAGGAAUAAGCACCGGCUAACUUCGUGCCAGCAGCCGCGGUAAUACGAAGGGUGCAAGCGUUAUCCGGAUUCAUUGGGUUUAAAGGGUGCGUAGGCGGAGCAUUAAGUCAGUGGUGAAAUCCUGCAGCUCAACUGUAGACUUGCCAUUGAUACUGAUGCUCUUGAGUGCGCUUGAAGUAGACGGAAUGUGCCGUGUAGCGGUGAAAUGCUUAGAUAUGGCACAGAACACCGAUUGCGAAGGCAGCUUACUAAGGCGAUACUGACGCUGAGGCACGAAAGCGUGGGGAUCGAACAGGAUUAGAUACCCUGG
rnacentral:rRNA from 1 species